CCCGCGGCCUAUCAGCUUGUUGGUGGGGUGAUGGCCUACCAAGGCGACGACGGGUAGCCGGCCUGAGAGGGUGUCCGGCCACACCGGGACUGAGAUACGGCCCAGACUCCUACGGGAGGCAGCAGUGGGGAAUAUUGCACAAUGGGCGCAAGCCUGAUGCAGCGACGCCGCGUGAGGGAUGACGGCCUUCGGGUUGUAAACCUCUUUCAGUAGGGACGAAGCGUAAGUGACGGUACCUACAGAAGAAGCACCGGCCAACUACGUGCCAGCAGCCGCGGUAAUACGUAGGGUGCGAGCGUUGUCCGGAAUUACUGGGCGUAAAGAGCUCGUAGGUGGUUUGUCGCGUUGUUCGUGAAAACCGGGGGCUUAACCCUCGGCGUGCGGGCGAUACGGGCAGACUGGAGUACUGCAGGGGAGACUGGAAUUCCUGGUGUAGCGGUGGAAUGCGCAGAUAUCAGGAGGAACACCGGUGGCGAAGGCGGGUCUCUGGGCAGUAACUGACGCUGAGGAGCGAAAGCGUGGGGAGCGAACAGGAUUAGAUACCCUGGUAGUCCACGCCGUAAACGGUGGGUACUAGGUGUGGGUUUCCUUCCUUGGGAUCCGUGCCGUAGCUAACGCAUUAAGUACCCCGCCUGGGGAGUACGGCCGCAAGGCUAAAACUCAAAGGAAUUGACGG
rnacentral:rRNA from 1 species